ACGUCUCGACCCAAUCCUCACCUAUCUAAGUUACCAAGCGUUCCAAGUACACUAGGUUAUCAAUUAGAAAGCAUAAGGAAUUGAGCUACUAUGCAACCCUACAAUGCAACAUGAAGAGAUGAGAUUAAAUGCAAUCUAAGACAUAGAAAGGAGUUCGAAAGUUUCGGAUGACACCCCCCACCUUUUAUCAAUGUAGAGGCUUUGGAAAUUCUUGUCGGCGAGCUUCGCAAAAAGGCUUUAGCCUUCCUCGCCCGAAUCAAUGCUAGCCCGGCCCAAUUUUGCCGAGAACUCCACGUCGGUUCGCCGAAUGCCAAAAUCGACUUCGCCCCCGCGUUUUGGGACCUAUCAAUAGGGUUUCCAAGGCUUCAAAUGAGAUCAAUCUCAUACAUUUACAAAAACCUCAUUUUGGAACCCUAGAUUUGCACCUAUAGCAAAUCACCCCAUAAAUCCCUAGAUUCUUGGGAUUGAUCUAUUUAGAAGCUUGCUUAGGGUCCAUUUGACCCAUUCCAAGGCAUAAAACCCAAAAACCCUAAGUUCUAGAAGCUAGGGUUUAGUAGCUUACCUCAAGAGCUACUCCAAUGGGAAGAGGAGAGGGAGUUGGAGGUGCUCAAAGCCUUCCUCUUGAUCUCCUUCUUCUUCUCCUUCCUUAUCUUCCUCUUCUUUUCCUUCCUCUCCUUCUUGUUCUUCUUCUCCUUCUUUCCUUUCUAGAGAGAGAGAGAGCAAGAGAGAAAUGAGAGUGAGAGAGAGGAAAUGAGAGAGUGUGAGGGAGAGAGAGGGCUCAGCCCACUCAAAUAAAUGCCAUUUUGCACAAAAGCCCCUCCACUUUCACCCCUGUGCACUGCCCUUACUGGGCAGUUUUCGCGCGGAGGGACCGGUCUCCCCGACUUGGGACCGGUCCCCGAGAGCUUCCCUCGGGCGCACGCGUUCGGGAACCGGUCUCUCCCCGGGAGACCGGUCCUCGGGAGACCGGUCCUCACCUGAGAGACCGGUCCCCGAGAGCUUGAUUUUCAGGACUUAGCCAAUUUUUGGCAUCUCACGCUUGGGCCACGUUCGGGAACCGGUCCCUCACCACCAGGGACCGGUUGCAUCACACAACCCCGCAACACCCAGCCGAGGGAACCGGUCUCUCACCUGCAGAGACCGGUCCCCGAGAGCAACUUCUGCCCAAUGAUGCCAUUUGCCUCAUUUGCUCUCGCGGACUCAACUCCAAGGCACUCUUUGUGCUUUGGACAUUCUCAACUCCCACCAAGGGUUUACUUUCGACAAUCAGUCGAUCCUGGGUGAAGUACAAUCCUCGUAUUUCGAGAAUUCACUUCCUUACACCAGCUCCUUCCUCAACUGCUGUCGG
rnacentral:lncRNA from 1 species